rnacentral:rRNA from 1 species
GGCGAACGCUGGCGGCAGGCCUAACACAUGCAAGUCGAACGAACCUUUCGGGGUUAGUGGCGUACGGGUGAGUAACACGUGGGAACGUGCCUUUAGGUUCGGAAUAACUCAGGGAAACUUGUGCUAAUACCGAAUGUGCCCUUCGGGGGAAAGAUUUAUCGCCUUUAGAGCGGCCCGCGUCUGAUUAGCUAGUUGGUUGAGGUAAUGGCUCACCAAGGCGACGAUCAGUAGCUGGUCUGAGAGGAUGAUCAGCCACAUUGGGACUGAGACACGGCCCAAACUCCUACGGGAGGCAGCAGUGGGGAAUCUUGCGCAAUGGGCGAAAGCCUGACGCAGCCAUGCCGCGUGAAUGAUGAAGGUCUUAGGAUUGUAAAAUUCUUUCACCGGGGACGAUAAUGACGGUACCCGGAGAAGAAGCCCCGGCUAACUUCGUG